AUUUAAUUUAUAACUAGACAUUUGAUCAAUGUUUAUCUUAAAACAUUUAUACAUUCAAAUUAGCAAAAAAAAUUGGUUUGGAUUUCCUCAUAGAGAAGAUGGGAAAAUGUCUUAUGUUACAUUUGUGUCUUAGUUCAUUUUGUAUUACUAUAACAGAAUACCUGAGACUGAGUAAUUUAUAAAGAAAAGAGGUUGAUUUAGUUCUGCAGGUUGGGAAGUUAAAGAUCAUGGCCCCGGCUUCUGACAAGGGCUUUAGUGCUGCAUCAUAACAUGGUAGAGAAGGUCAAAGGGGAAGUGGACACAUGCCAAGAGGCAAACUCCAAGGCGCGUUGGGCUUUAUAACAAACCACUCUCUCAUGAUCACCUUCUACUCAACAAUAUAUGGUUUAUCACUGGCCCUUAUUUCUGAGUUCGUUAAUAUACUGAAUCUGGUUAAAAUGAGAAUUAAAUAGCAGCUUUGAAAGAAAAACAAAGGGACAAUAUAAUAAAAGGGAAACAGGGGACAUGAAGGAUGUACAUGGCAACAGCCCAUAUUUUCAGGUAACCAGUCCCAGUCCUAUGUAUGUUAUUCUGGAAAUAGAUUUCUCAUAGUUUAUUUCACAGAUGCUGGUACCUGUCCCUUUAUUCUCUCUAGCUGCCCAUUUCAAGAGUCACUAGAGGUACUUGUGGCUCUUAAUACAAGGCUCAGUAUCCCAAAUGACAGACUCUUAAUGACCCCAAUCAGUUUGAUACUCCUGUCAUGUCCUUUGUCUGCUAUGUUAAAAAAUGUAAAAAAUUUGUGUAGGAUCUAGAUAUUAAGAAAAAAAUGGAAAAAAAAAUAUAUAUAUAUAUGGUUUCAAAACAAAUUGCUAAGGUUUGAAUUUCUCCUCAUCAAAACUCUUGUUGAAAUCUGACCCCAACCUCAGUGUGGGAGUAUUGGGAGGUGGAGACCUAGUAAGAGGUGUUUGGGUCAUGGGGGCAGAUCCCUCAUGAAUGGUUUAGUGCCUUUUUCAUGGUAAUGAGUGAGUUCUUACUCUCAUGAGAUUGGAUUAGUUCUCUCAGGAAUGCUUCUGAAUGGGUUGUUACACAGCCAGCACGCCCCUUGAUUUUGCCUCUUCACACAGGUCUGCUUCCCCUUUGACCUUUUCUGCCAUGUUAUGAAGCAGCACUAAAGCUCUUACCAGAAACCAGGGUCAUGCCCUUGAACUCCCCAGCCUGCAGAACCAUGAGCUAAACUUUUUUACUUUAUAAAUUUCCCUGUCUCAGGUAUUCUGUUAUAGCAAAACAGACUAUGACACAAAUGUUUAGUGUUGAUUGGAAAAAUGACAUAGAAAUAAAUAUUCAGUAAGAGAAGAAACAAUUCUUUCCACAUGUAUCAUAUGAUGGUAUCCAGGACUUCUAUAACAUGACACAGAUGACUUAUGCCUGCUUACUUAUUGAGCUGUUCAGUAAGAAAACCGCCUAUUUGUUCAUAUUUAUUGUCUUCAGUAAGCUUGCUUGGAGUGUCUUGUAGUUGCUAAGGAUAAGAAAGUCAAUGUUAAGUAAAUAGAAAGACUGUUUCUUCCUCUCUGCAAAGAAAAUGAGAAUAUAAAUUCUAAAGAACCAUAUGAAAUAGGAAGUUCCGAACUAGAGAGUGAAAGAUAUAGGACAUGUAUGCUAUUGUAAUCUGAACUGAGCUACUGAGCUUCAUAUACUUGUUUCUCCUGGCUGCCUGUGCAAACUGCACAUACUGUGAUGUGGGGUAGCCACAGAUUAGUUUAACGACUUAGUAAUAGGCCUAAAGAACACUUAAACUGUGUUGCUAGUCUGUAUCGCAAUGCUCUAAAUACAGCUAAAGAUUUUCAAUUUUGAUUCUGAGCAGAAAUUGGAUAUAAAAUUUGCCUAAAUACACAGUAUGCCAUACAGCAACGCAUUUAUUAUAUAAAAAGUCAAAAUAAAACAAAACAAAAAACAACCUAAUUCAAGGGCAUCUUUGGGGCUGGAAGAUGCCAUAUCAGAACAUGACUUUAUGUUCAUCCUAAACCCCAGAAAUAUACAAGAUAUGAGCCUAUCACAAAUACCACAUCCAGCUUGAACAAACCAGCCAGCAACACUUUCAAGCUUUACUGAAAAUAAGGCAGAAUGAAUGGUAAGUUAAAAGGUACUGAAACCUGGCAUAAUGUUGGUAUCAUGAACUAUAUCCAUGACAUCAGUGUAAAAGUAAAACAAAGUUUUUCUGUAACUUCUAAUAUCGUCAGGUAGGUAAUCUGUUCAUUUUUGAGAACACAUGACCACUUUCCAUCACUUGUUCCUCUUAAGUUUUUCCUUUCCAUAGCCUUUUCUUAUCUCCUUUGCAUUUAAAUUCUCUUUUUACUGUCUCCCUCUUUUUCCCUGUCCUACUAAUAUCUUGAGCCUGCCAGCAGUAUUCCUAUGUAUUUCAGUGUUGCUGGCAGCAUUUGCAAUUAGGAAAAUGCUGACCCUUGGCUGAAGGAGAAUGUUUCUCAAUGUUUUGUAAAUUUUAAAUUAACCUUGGUUAAAAAAAAAAAAAAAAGUUUCAAUGUUAUCACCUAAAUGAAGUGUAAUACAUCUAAACAAGAGAACAUGGAACGCAAUGUACCUUGAGAGCUACAAAAUCAUAUGGAUGAAAGCCAAUACAGGCUUCAUGAAUUUGGGACAUCAUUCGAGCUGUUUUCUCCCAGAAUCCAAGCAGUGUUCUCUGCAAAAAAAGAAAAGGUGACACUACAGUUCUCCUUCACCUCCAUGAUUUUUUAAGUGCUAUAUUUCCUUACUAGUUUAGUAGAUGAACAGUUGCCAAGUAAGAAGCAGCAGGAACUAAAUUCAAUUUUCCAAGUUUUCGGAACCAUAAAGCACUGCAAAUAGUGAUUGUGCAUAAGAAUUGGCAUCUUUGUCUGCAGGUGUGGGUGUUAUCGGUAUAAAUAGCACAGGAAUGCACACUGGAGCCACCUAGAGAGUAACUGCAGCUAAGAGAAUGAAAACUUAGGGAUUAGAACAUCUGAGAUAUCAAAAAGAGAAAUGUUAAAAGCACAAAAAUACCAGUCUCUGUUAAAGGAGGGACACAUGUGUAAUCUUUAUAUUAAUGGGAAUAUAUAAAACUUUUUAAUUGGAGAAAAAUUACAUUUACCACUAAAAAUUACAUUCACUAAAUCUGGCCUUUCAUCUAGAGUUCAAGAGAGAUUUGCCAAAAAAUGUGUUCUCAAGCUAACUCAAGUAAUUGGAAAUUUUCCUCGCUGCUUCAGGGUUCCUGAUUAAAGUGAGGGGGAUGAAUGGAGAGAAUAAAGGAGAAUUGAACUCAUAGCUGUUGUCUUUCAGGCAAGAUGCUAAACAGAUAUCACACACAGUUAUUUUCAAGUGCAUCCUUUCUCCAUUCCUGAAUCCCACAGUACUGAACUGAAAUAGGCAGACUCCCUAAAAGCAGGAGUUAAUGUCCAUUUCCUGUAAUUUAUUACUCUUUUCUUAUGUAAGUACAGUUUAUUCAAUUUUUUCCAUUUAAAAAUAUAUGUAAAAAUCAAUAACUGCUUAUUAAUAUCUAACUUAUUCAUUGUGUGUUAUUUAUAUGUGAUUUGUGGUAAUAUAAGCACAAGUGAGACUUCUGAGGUUAAAGUGAUACAGGAUGGCAACUUGGCAGAAUGAAAAGAACAUAGAACUUAGAAUUAGAAAACUUUGGUUUCUAAGCCCAACACUGCUAUUCAAAGGAAUCUAAUCACACAUAGUUUUUUGCACCCUCUAGACAACUUUUAAAAAGGAAUCUCACCACUCAUCUUUACUGCAAGGACAUGCUGACCAUGGAGGUGUCUGGGUCCAGCUCUUGGGAUACAUCUUUCAUCCACAGCAGAGCUCCUCUGUAUUCUGUGCGCGCCUGCUCCAUCCGAUUAAUUGUCAUCAAGGUAUCAGAUACCGCCCUUUGGCUGAAUGUUGCUACUUCUUGCUUCAGACGAGACAGAGGAGUACACAGGGCCAAUCUAAUGGCAGAGAGAUGCCUAAUAUCAUCAAGAAGCCUGAACAUUCUAUCUCUGGAGCAGUUUUUAUUAUUAUUUUGAUGUUUGAUCAAGCCUAAAGAAGGUAGAUAAUAAACACGAAAAUCGUAAAAGGAGGA